rnacentral:ncRNA from 1 species
GAUCCGUAACUUCGGGAAAAGGAUUGGCUCUAAGAGUUGGGCCUAGGGGUCUACGUCCUCAAAUCGUGGGUUGUCGAUAGUCUGCUCGAGCUACUAUCACAGUGAGGGUGGGUAGUCACAUGUCGAUUGGGCUACGGACGUAGGAUGUCCCCUCGUAGGGGAUUUUUCCCUAGGUAGCAAAUAGUUAACACAUAACUGGUAUGGACAAGGGGAAUCUGACUAUUUAAUUAAAACAAAGCAUUGCGAUGGUCCCUGUGGAUGCUGACACAAUGUGAUUUAUUCCCAGUUCUCUGAAUGUCAAAGUGAAUAAAUUCAACCAAGCGCGGGUAAACGAAUAGAGACUUUAAUCCUUAGAAUCCUUGAGUUCACAGUGAGGAUCAAUAUUAGGAAGGAUAGAGACUUGGAUAAGUUCAUAGAAAAGAAAAGGCUUUGAAGUCACCUCGUGAAAUCAAUCUCAGAAGGGUGGACGCCAAGUUAUUUGGCAAGGAAUUAUAGAGAGUCUAAAUGGAUGGUGUAAAUUUCC